AGAGCCUUGGUGAUACAGUGUUUCGUAAAAGAAUUCAUGGCUGAGCUGAAAGCCAUUCGAACUGGGCUCUUCAGCUGGAUUUGUGAGUCCGUGGGAUUAGCCGUCUUUUGCUUCCUACUUGGGAAAUGUUGCUGAGCGCCUCUGAUUCAUCCCCUCUCACAGCAUUUGGUGCCUAGAGGUUAAAAGGGUGGCCUACAGUUGUUUCUGGGAUUUUCUUCCAAACUAACACCCAUUCUGACAGUUUUGAAACUGCGGUUUUUCAAGUUUGUGCAUGCAAGGCCAAAGCAAUUAGUUAACAACUGUUGUCUGUUCUAGAAUGAUUAUCAAAUGCAAUCCAAUCUCAGAGGGCGGGUGUUACGAUGUGGAAAAAAAAAAUGCAUCUGUGAGCUGAGGAGGAUCUCCUUGGAGAAAUCCUGUGACAAGCAGAAAUGGCCUGGCUCUAGUUCACUGCCGUACUCAGUCACUGGCUAAAAGCUGCCUGGGGAGGGUGUGGCCCUGGCAUGAAUUGCUAUCACAAAUGCCCAAAGUGCAGCUGCUGGAAUCUACUGGCUAACUGUACUACUACGUGAAGUUUUUCUUUUUCAAGGAUGAUCUUAGCAAUCCUCCAUGGCUGCCAUACCCCAUAAAGUAUACGGAACAGUUACUACCAGCCCUAUUUUAAACAGGUUUCAUAUAAUUAAAGAUGUUCAGUGUGACAGUGGAAAAUUCCCAGCUUUCAUGUGUCUUGCUAAGUGGAUUUUUAAAAUGUUUUUCAAAAUCCUGUUGUGAUAGAUGGUCUUCAAAGACAACCACCGUCUAUUUCUUUUAUGGCUGUAGGUCAGUUGGCACCUCGUGUCCAGUGCCUCCCCUUGCAUCUGGGUGGGACUUACGCCCUGCUUUGACCAAUAGAAUGCAGUGAUGUAAUGCUUGGCAGGAUUUAAGAGGACAGGUAACUUCUCUCUUUCCUCUUAGAAGCCAGGUAUCAGGUGAGUAGUUUGACCCUAAUCUCUAUCCAAUUAUGAGAAAACUGGUCUACAAAAUAGCUGACUAGUACUUGUCAGAAGUGUGCCAAGAUCGUGAAAGACAAAGCUUAUAAACUGUUACACACUGGAAGAGACUAAGGGAAAAUUACAGCUAAACAUAAUGUGGGAUCUUGGCUAGGAUCUUUGGGUAGAAAAAAAUUGUUAGUAGAUCAACUGGUGAAGUUUAAUUUAAGUGUCUGCAGUUUAGUCAAUAAGCAUUAUACCAAAUUAGUUAACUGUGGUCAUGUAUUCAGGUUGUAUAGGAAGUUAACAUUAGGGAAACUUGGGUGACGGGUGUGUAGGAACUCUCUCUACUAUUUUUAUAACACUAAGUGUCAGGAUGAUCUGUGAUGUAUCAGUAGAUAACCUGGAACACCAGAAGAGAGGCAGCAACUCAGAUCACACAGCAGGGUUCCUUUUGAGUUGGGGCUCUUGGAAAAAAAGUACUGAUCUCAAGAUUGUGAUUAAGAACUUGGAUUCUGGAAACAGAGUAUCUGGCUCGACACUGACUCUCUGACAUUAGGUUAGUUAGCAAACAUCCUGACCAGUCCCAUCUGUGAAUGACUACAGGGAGGAAGAAAUUAACACAUCCCCUCUAGGGAGCUGAUGGGAACCAGGAGAUGUUCGACUACUCCCUUCUCUUUUAGUAUAAAAGAAACCUAAAUUCUAACUCAGGCAAGCUGGUUCUUUGUGGGGAUGAGCCCAUCAUCUUGGCUUGCUGACUUUUCCAAAUAAAGUCGUUAUUCCUUGCCCCAAACUUGUCUCUUGAUUAUUGGCCUGUCCUGUGGUGACCCAGUAACAGGAGGAUGUAUCAUCCACUGCCUAAUUGUGGUUUGACCCCUUCUUACAAACAUGGAGUUUGGGGUCUGCAUUUUGUCAUAGAAGCACAAGGUCCUUUCUGGGGCUUUCCCUCAACUAGCUUUCCCUCAAGCUCAGGGGUCUGCUGAUAUCUUUCACUACCCUUUCUGGGUUGUGGUUUUACAAAGAGGAAGUCUUUGGAGCUAGUCUUGGUUGAAUUCAAAUACUAUCCUCAUCUCUUUUUAGCUGUGUGAUCUUAGGCAAGUUAUUUUAUCUCUCUGAACCUUGGGUUCACAUGUGAAAUGGUGUUAAUAUUAAGAGGGAGAGGGUGGGAAGAUUUGGGA